rnacentral:rRNA from 1 species
GACGAACGCUGGCGGCGUGCCUAAUACAUGCAAGUAGAACGCACAGUUUAUACCGUGGCUUGCGACACCAUAAACUGUGAGUUGCGAACGGGUGAGUAACGCGUAGGUAACCUGCCUGGUAGCGGGGGAUAACUAGUGGAAACGAUAGCUAAUACCGCAUAAUAUUGAUUAUUGCAGGUUAAUUGAUUGAAAGAUGCUAUUGCAUCACUACCAGAUGGACCUGCGUUGUAUUAGCUAGUAGGUGAGGUAACGGCUCACCUAGGCGACGAUACAUAGCCGACCUGAGAGGGUGAUCGGCCAAGCUGGGACUGAGACACGGCCCAGAACACUACGGGAGGCAGCAGUAGGGAAUCUUCGGCAAUGGACGAAAGUCUGACCGAGCAACGCCGCGUGAGUGAAGAAGGUUGUCGGAUCGGAAAGCUCUGUUGUAAGAGAAGAACGGGUGUGAGAGUGGAAAGUUCACACUGUGACGGUAUCUUACCAGAAAGGGACGGCUAACUACGUG